GUUUGAUCCUGGCUCAGGAUGAACGCUGGCGGCGUGCUUAACACAUGCAAGUCGAACGGAGUACCCCUGAAGGAGUUUUCGGACAACUGAUGGGACUACUUAGUGGCGGACGGGUGAGUAACGCGUGAGUAACCUGCCUUGGAGUGGGGAAUAACAGCUGGAAACAGCUGCUAAUACCGCAUAAUAUGUCUGUGUCGCAUGGCACUGGACAUCAAAGAUUUAUCGCUCUGAGAUGGACUCGCGUCUGAUUAGCUAGUUGGCGGGGUAACGGCCCACCAAGGCGACGAUCAGUAGCCGGACUGAGAGGUUGGCCGGCCACAUUGGGACUGAGACACGGCCCAGACUCCUACGGGAGGCAGCAGUGGGGAAUAUUGGGCAAUGGGCGCAAGCCUGACCCAGCAACGCCGCGUGAAGGAAGAAGGCUUUCGGGUUGUAAACUUCUUUUAAGGGGGAAGAGCAGAAGACGGUACCCCUUGAAUAAGCCACGGCUAACUACGUGCCAGCAGCCGCGGUAAUACGUAGGUGGCAAGCGUUGUCCGGAUUUACUGGGUGUAAAGGGCGUGCAGCCGGAGAGACAAGUCAGAUGUGAAAUCCACGGGCUCAACCCGUGAACUGCAUUUGAAACUGUUUCCUGGAGUUCGGAGGGUAUGGAAUUCUUGUUAGCGGUGAAAUGCUGUAGAUAUGGGAGAACCACCAGUGCGAGGGGGCUUCCGGGACUGUACUUGACUGUAGAGGUCUCAAAGCUGGGGGAGCACCGAGGAAUGAGAUACCGUGAUAGUCCCACGCGGUAACGGAUGAUUACUAGGUGUUGGGGGGACCCAGGCUCUUUCGGUGCCGGGCGCAAACCCUUUAGGAAUUCCACCUGGGGAAUUACGUUUGGCAAGAAAGGAACUUCAAAGAAAUUGAACGGGGGACCCCCCCAACCGGUGGAGGCAUGGUGUUUUAUUUCGGAGGAACGGGAAGAACCUUUACCUUGUUCUGACCUUCCGGAUGACGAAGUGAGCAAAGUCAACUUCCCUUCGGGGCCAUGGAGGACAGGUGGUGGCAUGGUUGGUCGUCAGCUCGUGUCGUGAGAUGUUGGGUUAAGUCCCGCAACGAGCGCAACCCCUAUUUCCAGUAGCCAGCAGGUAGAGCUGGGCACUCUGGAGAGACUGCCCGGGAUAACCGGGAGGAAGGCGGGGAUGACGUCAAAUCAUCAUGCCCCUUAUGAUCAGGGCUACACACGUGCUACAAUGGCGUAAACAAAGGGAAGCGAGACGGUGACGUUAAGCAAAUCCCAAAAAUAACGUCCCAGUUCGGAUUGUAGUCUGCAACUCGACUACAUGAAGCUGGAAUCGCUAGUAAUCGCGAAUCAGAAUGUCGCGGUGAAUACGUUCCCGGGUCUUGUACACACCGCCCGUCACACCAUGGGAGUCGGAAAUGCCCGAAGUCAGUGACCUAACCGAAAGGAAGGAGCUGCCGAAGGUGGAGCCGGUAACUGGGGU
rnacentral:rRNA from 2 species